rnacentral:tRNA from 1 species
UGCCCAGAUAGCUCAGUGGUAGAGCACUUGCAUGGUAAGCAAGUGGUCGAAGGUUCAAUUCCUUUUCUGGGCAA